CGAAACGUCUCAUGUUCCGCAGAGUGGGCUCCGGUCUGUUUUUUGACCCAUAAGUCCAGCUUAGUUAGACGGGAAUAGCUGAAGGUUUUGCCGGAGGAUCGUCAUCAUUAGCGAACAGAUGAAGGUGACACCUGCUGGCCAAGUGAUGCCGAAGAUGCACUAUGUAGAGUGGGUUCAUCGAUCACGAUACAGUCUAUUGGAGAAAGCCGUGAAAAAAAACUGAAGGCCUGUAGCGUUUUAAAGAAAUAUUCAAUAAAUAUUGAAUUUGA